rnacentral:rRNA from 1 species
UACGUAGGCAGCGAGCGUUGUUCGGAGUUACUGGGCGUAAAGGGUGCGUAGGCGGUUUGCUAAGUUUGGUGUGAAAUCUCCCGGCUUAACUGGGAGGGUGCGCCGAAAACUGGAAGGCUUGAGUAUGGGAGAGGUAAGCGGAAUUCCUGGUGUAGCGGUGAAAUGCGUAGAUAUCAGGAGGAACACCUGCGGUGUAGACGGCUUACUGGACCAUAACUGACGCUGAGGCACGAAAGCGUGGGUAGCAAACAGG